rnacentral:rRNA from 1 species
UUUCCUUGGAACAGGAGGUCAUGGAGGGUGAGAAACCCCGUCUGUGGCUCAGAGCCUUCGUCCUUGUGUCGUGUCCUCGAAGAGUCGGGUUGUUUGGGAAUGCAGCUCAAAAUGGGUGGUAAAUUCCAUCUAAGGCUAAAUAUUGGCGAGAGACCGAUAGCAAACAAGUAGAGUGAUCGAAAGAUGAAAAGUACUUUGAAAAGAGAGUGAAACAGUACGUGAAAUUGUUGAAAGGGAAGCGUUUGGCAUCAGCCCAUGACGUCCAUUGAUCAUUCAGGCUUCUGUCUGAUGCACUUGAUGGAUGUCGGGCCAGCGUCGGCUUUGCCCGCCGGAGAAAGGCCUUGGGGAUGUGGCACCUCUCGGGGUGCGUUAUAACCCUUGGCGUCAUGCGGUGUGGUGGGGCCGAGGUCCGCGGUUUAUCCUAGGACGCUGGCGUAAUGGUUCCAAGCGACCCGUCUUGAAACACGGACCAAGGAGUCUAACAUCUAUGCGAGUGUUUGGGUGUAAAGCCCGUCCGCGCAAUGAAGGUGAAUGAAGGCGGGAGCCUUUAGGGGGUGCACCGCCGACCGGUCCAGGGGUUUACCGAAGGAUCUGAGUAAGAGCAUAGCUGUUGGGACCCGAAA